GCCAGACACCUUUCCCUGGUGAAGCUGCUUUGCCCGUUGAUCGAACGCCUGCCAUGGUUUCUGGCCACCCGUCCUCAGGAUGUCGGGCACACGUGUCUCCCUCAAGCUCUCUGCUGUAGAUGGAGUAGAACUGUGUUACACCAGAAAACAACAGAACGCACAACUAAAAUUAAAACCUCCGGGAGAAAGAGAACGACUGCCGCCCGGCCAGCGGCCAGCGUUACUGGGACUUGAGAUGGAAUCAUUGAUCCUUUGAGGAGGAGAACCGGGCUAAACAACUCUGGAAACUCGGCAACAGCGACGUAAAAAUCAGUUCUGGCAGGGAACUGCUUCCAUUUUCAAGGCACAAUAAAUGCUUUCAUGGCGAGAGUUAGCUUCAGAAAUCAGGACUUGGGAAUGAAGCCAUCCCUUCCUUGAUUUUAUUUAUAAGAAUUUUUCAUAUGUAUGAGAAAAGGAGGGUGAAGUCAGGAGACUGUGCCGAAGAAUAUUUUUACACCCCUUUGCCUCAGCAGCACUACUAUAACCAAUAAACGUGCAUUCAUUAUGCGUGG
rnacentral:lncRNA from 1 species